GUGAAUCCCACAUCCCAAAUCCAUCUUCCGUGCAGUCAUAUCGACCUGCUUUUGCGUUGAGCUCAACGGCCAACAUCUCCUUACCGACCACGUUAGAACCCCCUCCUCCACCCCGUGUGGGACCCCUUUCCAUUGGUGUCCGUAUCAUCCAAUCCGAGGGUGCUGCCGCCCUUUUCUCUGGUGUCUCCGCUACCAUCCUCCGCCAAACCUUAUACUCCACCACCCGUAUGGGCCUUUAUGAUGUCCUCAAACAUAAAUGGACGGAUCCAGAUACCAAUACCAUGCCACUUGUACGUAAGAUCGUGGCUGGACUCAUCUCCGGUGCUGUCGGGGCUGCUGUUGGUAAUCCUGCUGAUGUAGCCAUGGUCCGUAUGCAAGCUGAUGGACGUCUCCCGAUUGAACAGCGUAGAAAACUACAAGAGUGUUGUCGAUGCCUUAAGUCAAAUGUCAAAGCAGGAGGGUGUCGCUAGCCUGUGGCGGGGUUCCAGUCUUACAGUCAACCGUGCGAUGAUUGUGACGGCGUCACAGCUGGCAUCAUAUGAUCAAGCCAAGGAGAUGAUCUUGGAGAAGGGUUUGAUGAGUGAUGGGAUCGGCACCCAUGUGUCAGCAAGUUUUCUGGCUGGUUUUGUGGCUUCCGUUGCUUCAAACCCUAUUGAUGUGAUCAAGACUAGAGUUAUGAACAUGAAGGUUGAGCCCGGGGUUGAACCACCUUAUAAGGGUGCAUUAGAUUGUGCACUGAAGACUGUCAAGGCAGAGGGUCCUAUGGCCUUGUAUAAGGGUUUUAUCCCUACAAUUUCAAGGCAGGGACCUUUCACUGUUGUGCUAUUUGUGACAUUAGAACAAGUUCGGAAAUUACUUAAAGAUUUCUGAUCAAUGAUGAUGAAGAUAAGAUUUAUCUAAACUGAAGGCAGCGGAACAAGCACUCAGGCUUUGUAUAUUCAUUGAUUUAUUUGUUCAACUUUGAUUACAUAUUGGAAGCAAUAUAAUUUUCCCCCUUCAUUAUUUGUUUAAGAGUGUGUGGUUGAACAUAAAUGGAUGAUCAGUGGUGAAAUGUACUAAAAAUUACAAUCAGAGAUGAUACUUGAGUACGAAAAUCUUUCUUAUUUUUCUCUUCCUAAUCUUUGUAUUAACAAUGAUACUGCAUUAUAUCUUUGCUGCACGUGAAUCAAUAUGCGGGUGAUUAAUUCUACAGCCAAGUAAAAGUUUGUCUAUCACAGUUGCAAUUCUUAUAAAAUAUUUUAUAGAAAAAAAAAUUUUAGAUUUUUUUGUUUUUGUUUUCCAUUUGCUAUAUUUGUUUUAUGUAAAAUAUUUAAUAAAAAAAAUUGAUGAAUAUAAAAUAUUUUAUAGUCAAUUUUUAAAUUUAGUUCAUUUACUUAAAAUUAUUUUUAAUUCAUAAAAUUUUAUAAAAUAUUUUUUAAAUAAAAAUUCAUUACCUCAAUCUCCUCAUCAUCAUUGUCUCAUUCACAAUCACUUCAACAACUAUUUUUUUUAACACCAUAAUUAUUUUACUUUACAAUCAUUGUUAUGUCACCAUCACUAUCUCCUCCAGCACAACUACAAUUAACUCCUCUAUCACCACCAUUAUUUAAUAAUUGUCUUCUUUUUCAUUACCAUUAUGAUCACUUUACCACCAUCAACACAAUCACCAUCACCUCAUUACAUUCUUCUCUUUCACUACCAUUAUGACCACCUCACAACCACCUUUUUCAUCAUAACUAUAAUGUCAUCAUAACAAACAUUUUCUCCAUCAUCACUACAAUCAGGGGCAGAGACAGGGGGCUAGUAAGGGCCAGGGCCCCUGCAAAGAAUUUGUUUAUCAACCUAUCCCUUAAUACUAUUAAUAUAUUUAGCCUAAAUAAUAAAAUAACUUACAUCUUGGUUCUUUUUAAUUUUUUUUCUGGUUCGCCCUUUAAUGCAAUGUUAUCACCAUUGUUGCCAUGUCACCACAAUAACAACCCUCUCUUCCACUACUAUUAUUUGUAAUAUAUAUUAAAAUAUUUUGCAAGUCAAAUAUUGAAAAAUAUUCUAAAUGCAAAGUAUACAAACGAAACCUUAUCCAAUGAGAACUUUCAGUCUGGUCUUGAAAUUAAUUAAUGAAUUAACAUCCUUCUUUUUCUCAUUUAAUUUUCAAACCAAAACUUUUGAGUAUCUUACGGUUGCGGAUGUGGCCACGUGGUUUUAAGUUAUCACUUACCACUAAUCCUAUUACUUAUUAAAAGUAAAUGCAAUCUUAAGUAAUAUAUUACAAUAAAAAGAAACAAAACAAAUACUUUAUCUUCAAUUAUUUUUCAUGAUAAUAUUUCAAAAACAAAAAAAACAAAACAGAUAACUCAUCUUCAAUUAAUUUUCAUAAGCAUUUUUUAUAUAUAUAAAUUUUACAUAUUAGCUUUAUAUAUAAUAACUCACAAAGUAAUUAUUAACAUAAUUAUAAAAAAAUAUAUAUAAUCUUAUUUGAAAACCAUAAAAAAUGGAUAAUAUUUUAAAUAUAAUUUUUUUAUUCAUGGUGAAUUAAUUUGAUUCAAGAAAUUAAAUGGAAGUGUAAUAUAAAACGAAAUGAAGCGUUGGGCCUAAAAAGAUUGGGAUGCGAGAGCGCUUUGGUCUGCAAUAAACGGAUGAUGCAUCAUCACAUGGUUCAAAUUUAGUCCAUCUUCGGUUACUAGAAAGUCAGGAUUUGGGUUCUUUGAUCCAAAAUACCUAUUUUUUUAAUUUAUUUUCACUAAAAAACAGUAAAAAAAAAUUCUAAAAAUCCUAGUGUCCAACUCCAAAAUACCAUAAAACUAGUAUAAAAAUAAAAUAAAAAAAUUAGACUAAUUUAAACAAAUAUUUUUAAGUAUGUAUCUCCUUUUUUUCAACAAGAAUUACGUUUCAAAUUAUCAUUAUAAAAAUUUUAUUUUUUAAAACAAAUUUAUUUACAUUAAAAUCAAUUUUUUUUAUUGUCAGAAUUUUAGACCACAUAAUAUUUUCUCUUUCUUUGUUUUUUUCAUUGAUUUUUUCUCCUCUAUCAAUAUAAGGAUCAAAAUAAUAGGACAAUCCUUAAAUAAUAGGAAUCGAACAUGUAAAAAGUUAAAACUUUAGGACAAUGCUAAAAUUUUCGAUGAUGCCUCUUGAAUAGUAAAUACAAAAGGUCUAUUUUUUUAAAAUUUUGUUUCUUUCUCUUUCAUUUUUUCCCAACAACAUAUUAAUUUUUUUUAUAUAAAAUUGAUUGUUAAUUAACAUAGGAAACACUAUAAGAGACCUAUGAAAAUAAAUAAACGAAUUAUAAAAUAAAUUAAUACCAACAUAUGAAAUAAAUAAAAAGUUUGAAAACUAAGAAAACACGAAGCACUACAACAUGAACAAUGUCAUCCAUAGUCACAAAGAUAAAAGUCAAAAUAAAAGUGGGUUAUAUUUUAGGUUUUUCCUUUUCUUUUAAUAAUGAGAUCUACUUUAUCGAUAAUCAAGUAAUUUUUAUCAACAUGAAUGAUGGACGAUGGACCUGAUUUUUGUAAUAAUUAGGGGGGUUAUCUGCUAUCAUUUAUGUUUUUUUUUUUUUUUAUCAUGGGUUCCAUUUUAUUUUAUUUUUUAUUCUAAAAACUAAAAAUUUACUUGAGAAACUAUGAGUAAUAUAAAUAUUAUAUGAAUUUAUAGUACGAUUGUCAAUUUCGUUUUAAUUAGUAUUUUAUUUUUUUUAUUAGAACAAUAAAUUUUAUUUUAGUGUAUUUUAGCUUUUUAUUCCAGAAUCUAGUACACGGGCACUCGUUCAAACAAAUAUACAUACAAAAAGUACAUGUCAUAAAAAAAUUGAGAAAAUAAACUCCAUGAUUAAACUAGUUUUUUAAUCAAUUCGGGAAUUUUUUUUUAAGUUUAAUUUCCAAAGACUUUCAAUAGAAAUAUUAAAUAAUUAUGUAUCUAUAUCUGUAAAUAACUUCAAAUAAUUAAUUUUUUAAGUUAUAUUUAAGGUUUAUUUUGCUUUGAACAUAUAUAAGUUACAACUAGCAUGAUUUAUCUAUUUUUAACAUAUUGUCUCAAACAAUUUAUUUAAUGAUAUAGCUACUCUAUGAAAAUAUAAGAUUAUAUCAUAAAUGAGACUUAUUUAAUAAUACUAUAAAAUUAGCAUAUACAAUAUUGAGAUUUAAAGAAAGUUAACUGGUGUAUUAAUUGGAAGAAAAAAAUGACAAAAAAGUUUAAUUAAGAAAAUUUUAAAAAAGAAAAACAUAACUGUUAAUUGAGAAAAUUAAAAAACACUUAGACAAAAAUGAAUAAUGGACCAAUAAAUGAAUAAAUAGAGGCAAAAUUACUUUGAGACUUCCAAGAUUUUCCCUCUAUAACAUUUUUUUAAUGUAAUUCAUAAAUGGAAAGAACAGAGUACUGAUGGCACAGAACACAAGAUGGAAAAAACAGAGUAAUGGAGAGAACUUGAGAUUGAAAUUAUAUGGAGAAAGAAAUUCUAAAGAUUUAGAAUAAAUUUGGACAGGAUCAACGGGUUAUUGAUCGAGACAUCGAGUGUUAAUUUAUUGCAUGUUGAUCAGGUCUUUCCCAUGGAACCCGACGAACAGGUGCCCUAAAUAACAAAAUACCAAUGGUGACAGAGAGUUGAAUAGUAUAUGAUUAUUCAAUUGUCAAGGUCAAACCAAGACUGCCAUAAAGAGGCACAAGCAAAAACACUUGUGUAGUUGGAUUGCCGCGUCAAGCUUCUAUGAAGGUUGGAAGCUUCUCUGUUCUUUCCCUUCUCCCAGUCGACUCUAUAUAUAAAUAUGGAUGGAUGAUGGCCUUAACACUCAUCAACACACCACCACGUCUCACUUCUCUCUCUCAUAGAUAUUCACAUCGUUCAAUUCUUUGUUUGAUCAUCAGCUUUUGAAAGUCCCAUUAGAAACUAUAUCAUGGGUUUGAAAGGUUUUGCUGAAGGUGGUGUUGCCUCCAUCAUUGCCGGUGCUUCCACUCAUCCUUUGGAUUUAAUCAAGGUCCGUAUGCAACUUCAAGGUGAAUCCCACAUCCCAAAUCUAUCCUCCGUGCAAUCCUAUCGCCCUGCUUUUACGUUGAGCUCUACGGCCAACAUCUCCUUACCAACCACCUUAGAACUCCCUCCUCCACCCCGUGUGGGACCCCUUUCCAUUGGUGUCCGUAUCAUCCAAUCCGAGGGUGCUGCCGCCCUUUUCUCUGGUGUCUCCGCUACCAUUCUCCGCCAAACCUUGUACUCCACCACCCGUAUGGGCCUUUAUGAUGUCCUCAAACAUAAAUGGACGGAUCCAGAUACCAAUACCAUGCCACUUGUACGUAAGAUCGUGGCUGGCCUAAUCUCCGGUGCUGUCGGGGCUGCUGUUGGUAAUCCUGCUGAUGUAGCGAUGGUCCGUAUGCAGGCUGAUGGACGUCUCCCGAUUGAACAGCGUAGAAACUACAAGAGUGUUGUCGAUGCCUUAAGUCAAAUGUCAAAGCAGGAGGGUGUCGCAAGCCUGUGGCGGGGUUCGAGUCUUACAGUCAACCGUGCG
rnacentral:lncRNA from 1 species